AGCACUAUAUUUAAACCUGUGGAUGGGAAUUUUCCCCAUUCUUGGUUACGCUGUAGUGCAAAAGAAUUCCUGGCUCUUUAUGCUGCACAGACAUUGUACCAUUCUGCUGUUGCUGAAUAGAGUUAAGGAACAUAA